UACGUAGGGGGCUAGCGUUGUCCGGAAUCAUUGGGCGUAAAGAGCGUGUAGGCGGUCGGUAAGUCCGCUGUGAAAGUCCAGGGCUCAACCCUGGAAUGCCAGUGGAAACUGUCGAGCUAGAGUCCGGAAGAGGCGAGUGGAAUUCCUGGUGUAGCGGUGAAAUGCGCAGAUAUCAGGAGGAACACCAAUGGCGAAAGCAGCUCGCUGGGACGGUACUGACGCUGAGACGCGAAAGCGUGGGGAGCAAAACAGG
rnacentral:rRNA from 1 species